GGGCGGGUAGCUCAGCUGGGAGAGCGCCGCUUUCGCACGGCGGAGGUCGCGGGUUCGAGUCCCGUCCCGUCCACCA
rnacentral:tRNA from 1 species